CAGAUAGUAGUUUAUCUUAAAACACCGGCUUUGGGUGCCAAAAAUCGCUUCUAGCGCCAUCUGA
rnacentral:tRNA from 1 species